GACGAACGCUGGCGGCGUGCCUAACACAUGCAAGUCGAGCGAUGAAGUUUCCUUCGGGAAAUGGAUUAGCGGCGGACGGGUGAGUAACACGUGGGUAACCUGCCUCAUAGAGGGGAAUAGCCUCCCGAAAGGGAGAUUAAUACCGCAUAAUAUUACAGUUUCGCAUGAAACAGUAAUUAAAGGAGCAAUCCGCUAUGAGAUGGACCCGCGGCGCAUUAGCUAGUUGGUGAGGUAACGGCUCACCAAGGCGACGAUGCGUAGCCGACCUGAGAGGGUGGUCGGCCACAUUGGGACGGAGACACGGCCCAGACUCCUACGGGAGGCAGCAGGGGGGAAUAUUGCACAAUGGGGGAAACCCUGAUGCAGCAACGCCGCGUGAGUGAUGACGGUCUUCGGAUUGUAAAGCUCUGUCUUUGGGGACGAUAAUGACGGUACCCAAGGAGGAAGCCACGGCUAACUACGUGCCAGCCGCCGCAGUAAGAC
rnacentral:rRNA from 1 species